rnacentral:tRNA from 1 species
GGGGAAUUGGUGGAAUUGGCAGACACAAAGGACUCAAAAUCCUUCGAAGAAAUUCAUACGGGUUCAAGUCCCGUAUUCCCCA